GAACGCCGAGUUCUCCGUUCUUCUCUCAGAGAAGGCCGAGCCAGAAGACGGGCCCUGCAAACCCUCCGCUGCCUCGGAGGCCGAGAGACAGUACGGGCUGGGACUCUAGCGAUCGCUCCAAAGGUUUUUCGAAAGGCAGAAGUUGCUGGCCUCCAUAACUGCCUACCAGUCUCCAAAGAAAGUGAGAGGGUUGAAAACUCUGAAAUCAAGGUAUUCGGAAAAUGUUUCUGCAUCUUGAUCAAGGAGGAGGUCGUGAUAGUCACCAGAUGUAAUUGUUACGGCGAAGCGGAGGAUAUGACCACAAUUCCCUUCAGCAAACCAAGAUGCUCCCAAGCCUUUUAAAGCAUGUAGACGCUCUUGUCAAAGUAGCUGCACUUUCUGACAGCUAAAAUCGGAAUGUGGUUUUGAGCACACUGGAAAAAGCUCACUGUGCGUCUAUGUUUGUGCAUCAGUGUGGGUGUCUCCCUUCCCUCGCUUUUUCAGUUUCUUCCUCCUAGAAGCUGGUUAAUCCUCUUGGAAUGUAGCUCUUAUCACCACCUAGAGGAAUUCAUUACCCUUUCACCCUCACUGCUCCCCAGGCCCAAGAGACUAAGGAACAAGAGGGCAAUUGUCUGGGGAGCUGCCCCCUGAAUUCAGGUGUGCUGGCACAGGGGUACCCAUGGCCUGCCGAUCUUGCCUAUCAUCAGGAAGGGGGAGAAAUUAAUCAUGCUUCCCCCUCCAAGGAGUUGGAGGAAAAGAGCCUUCAGGGACAGAGGCUGAGGCCCCCUGCCAUUAAAUCCAGCUAUUUUAAAGCCAAGGGUUU